rnacentral:rRNA from 1 species
GACGAACGCUGGCGGCGUGCCUAAUACAUGCAAGUAGAACGCUGAAGAGAGGAGCUUGCUCUUCUUGGAUGAGUUGCGAACGGGUGAGUAACGCGUAGGUAACCUGCCUGGUAGCGGGGGAUAACUAUUGGAAACGAUAGCUAAUACCGCAUAAAAUGGAUUAUCGCAUGAUAAUCCAUUGAAAGGUGCAAAUGCAUCACUACCAGAUGGACCUGCGUUGUAUUAGCUAGUUGGUGGGGUAACGGCUCACCAAGGCGACGAUACAUAGCCGACCUGAGAGGGUGAUCGGCCACACUGGGACUGGGACACGGCCCAGACUCCUACGGGAGGCAGCAGUAGGGAAUCUUCGGCAAUGGACGGAAGUCUGACCGAGCAACGCCGCGUGAGUGAAGAAGGUUUUCGGAUCGUAAAGCUCUGUUGUAAGAGAAGAACGAGUGUGAGAGUGGAAAGUUCACACUGUGACGGUAUCUUACCAGAAAGGGACGGCUAACUACGUG